CGGACGGGUGAGUAACGCGUGAGAAUCUGCCCUCAGGAGGGGGAUAACGGCUGGAAACGGCCGCUAAUACCCCAUAUGCCGAGAGGUGAAACGAAUUUCGCCUGAGGAUGAGCCCGCGUCUGAUUAGCUAGUUGGUGGGGUAAGAGCCUACCAAGGCGACGAUCAGUAGCUGGUCUGAGAGGGUGAUCAGCCACACUGGGACUGAGACACGGCCCAGACUCCUACGGGAGGCAGCAGUGGGGAAUUUUCCGCAAUGGGCGAAAGCCUGACGGAGCAACGCCGCGUGAGGGACGAAGGCCUCUGGGCUGUAAACCUCUUUUCUCAAGGAAGAAGAUCUGACGGUACUUGAGGAAUAAGCCACGGCUAAUUCCGUGCCAGCAGCCGCGGUAAUACGGGAGUGGCAAGCGUUAUCCGGAAUUAUUGGGCGUAGAGCGUCCGCAGGCGGCUUUGUAAGUCUGCUGUCAAAGCGUGGAGCUUAACUCCAUUUCGGCAGUGGAAACUACGAGGCUUGAGUGUGGUAGGGGCAGAGGGAGUUCCCGGUGUAGCGGUGAAAUGCGUAGAUAUCGGGAAGAACACCAGUGGCGAAGGCGCUCUGCUGGGCCAUAACUGACGCUCAUGGACGAAAGCCAGGGGAGCGAAAGGGAUUAGAUACCCCUGUAGUC
rnacentral:rRNA from 1 species